GUCAGGCUUAAUGACCAAGCUGAGCUAAUGUCAAUAAACAGAGAACUAUUAGGAAAUUCAUUAAUCAAGGUCUUGUUUAUACUCCUAUUUGUCAACCAAAUUAUUUGCUUGACUUGUGACCUCCUUGGUUUAUUAUGGCCAUUUCUGUCAUCAGCAGAGCUGGGCUGCUGGAAUUUCACACAUAGGUAGUCCUGCCUCUGUCUUCAGCAUGCUCCUGGUCAGCCUUCUCCCAGAAUCACACCUCUGAGCAGGGGCCAAGGAAUGAGCCCAGGAAGUUGACCUUUGAAGCACUCUCCUGCUCUUGGGGCCAUGUCAUCAGGAAGAAACUCCAGGCUGAAAACACAACUGCAAGGCCAACAGGCAGGGGAGCAGCUUUCUCAGGACACCUGAGGUCCUGCCCCACCAGGCUCUGGUCUUUACACACCAUCUCUCACUGUCCUCUAGCCCCAACUGCACAUUGCCUUCCUCCUUCCUGAGCUCAUGCUUGCCCCUCCCUCGGCAUCUCCCUAGCCCCAGCCUGAAGGCUGACCUCCUCCAGAAAGCCUCUCCCUCACCACGAGGCCAGAAAGAGUCUGUCCUGUCUCUAGCUUCUGAGUUUCUUAGUCCCAACGACUGUCCCUGCUCCACUGACACCUUCCAUACACAGCUUUGUGAGCUGUGCGCAUCUGUGGGUACCAGAGGGUAAGUUCGAGGGCCAGCUGACGCCUACUGUCUCUACUGUCUCACAGAUCUGCAUUGGGUUUCCUUGGUCCCAAUCCCCCACAGACACACACACAUGUACACACUCACACACACAACGCUGGACCAAUAGAGAGAACUUUAUCAGUAAAAUGUAACUAUUUCAUUACA
rnacentral:lncRNA from 1 species